rnacentral:rRNA from 1 species
UACGGAGGGUGCGAGCGUUGUCCGGAAUCAUUGGGCGUAAAGGGCGCGUAGGUGGCCCGGUCAGUUCGUGGUGAAAGCGCGGGGCUCAACCCUGCGUCGGCCAUGAAUACUGCCGCGGCUGGAGCACUGUAGAGGCAGGCGGAAUUCCGGGUGUAGCGGUGGAAUGCGUAGAGAUCCGGAAGAACACCGGUGGCGAAGGCGGCCUGCUGGGCAGUUGCUGACACUGAGGCGCGAAAGUGUGGGGAGCGAACAGG